GGGCCGACGGCAGGGCUAUACAUGCAGCUGAACGGCAAGAUUUGUAGCAAUACGGAUCCUAGAGUAGCGUAAGGGUGCGUAACACGUAUGCAAUCUACCCACAACAGGAGGAUAGCUCUUCGAAAGAGGAAUUAAGACUCCAUAAGAUCACUUGAGGGCAUCUGAGGGUGAUUAAACUACAAGGGGUUGUGGAUGAGCAUGCGUCUGAUUAGUUAGUUGGCGGGGUAACGGCCCACCAAGACGAUGAUCAGUAGGGGAACUGAGAGGUUGGUCCCCCACACUGGCACUGAGAUACGGGCCAGACUCCUACGGGAGGCAGCAGUAGGGAAUAUUGGACAAUGGGUGCAAGCCUGAUCCAGCCAUGCCGCGUGCAGGAAGAAAGCCUUCUGGGUUGUAAACUGCUUUUUUCAGGGGAUAAAAUACCGGUGCGCCGGGAAUUGCAAGUACCUGGAGAAUAAGCCACGGCUAACUACGUGCCAGCAGCCGCGGUAAUACGUAGGUGGCAAGCGUUGUCCGGAUUUAUUGGGUUUAAAGGGUGCGUAGGCGGUAAUUUAAGUCAGUGGUGAAAUACGGCAGCUCAACUGUCGAGGUGCCAUUGAUACUGGGUUACUUGAGUACUGAUGAGGUAGGCGGAAUGGACGGUGUAGCGGUGAAAUGCUUAGAGAUCGUCCAGAACACCGAUAGCGAAGGCAGCUUACUAAGGAGUAACUGACGCUGAGGCACGAAAGUGUGGGGAUCAAACAGGAUUAGAUACCCUGGUAGUCCACACUGUAAACGAUGAUUACUCGAUGUUGGCGAUACACAGCCAGCGUCUUAGCAAAAGCGAUAAGUAAUCCACCUGGGGAGUACGCCGGCACGGUGAAACUCAAGGAAUUGACGG
rnacentral:rRNA from 1 species